rnacentral:rRNA from 1 species
AUGUCACCAGCGACGAAGGGCCAAAGGCGACGGCCGCACCUCGCCAUCACAGGAGGAGCAUCAGCCGCCAAGACGUUCGUCGUGCGCAUGACUUGCUGUCAACUUGGCCACCUGAUGGAGAUGGAAGAGGUACCAUCCAGCCUACGAAGGUCGAGCUGCGGCAAGCAGCAGAGGAGGCGUGUAGCUGCUGCCUGGUCUAGGACCUUCUUCGCAGUAGCAGCACCACCACCAUCGUCAGAUGCAGUGAAGACCAAUAGAUGCAGGCGCCAUCAACCAUGGCCCGGUGAAACCAGCCAUCUCCGGUGA